ensembl:lncRNA
UGUGGCUGAGGGUUACUGGAGACGGAAGACCCACCCUGGGUGCUCGUGACACCAACCCAUGGGCGUCCACCUGAAUGGAAUAAAAAGAAAUGAAGAAGGAAGACUCGUGUCUGCUUCUUCCGAGGAGCUCCAGUCUUUGCCUUCCCCUUGGAUGUCACCUCCUGGAUUCCAGAGCAGACUCUUCGGAUUCUAGUACCGACCCUUCCACCUCCCAUGACAGACCCUUUGGGCUCCUGAUACCAACUUGCACAAAACACUGCAGUGAGCUCCAGGCCUUCAGCUGAGUCCUUCAGAUGUCCAGCGUGCAGCCAGACCUUGUGCAUUUUUCCACUCCUGACUCUGUGGGCAGCCAUUGUAAGCAAAUCUUGAUACCAAGAAGACAUUUUUAAGAGUGAAAUAUAUUCUACAAUUGGAUUUACACCUUCUGAUUCUAGGAGAAAGGAAAUUUGUAUUGCUGUCAUUGUAGCUGAUAAACUAACUCUCCCCAGGACACUGUAGAAUCGUGGUGGACAUGUCAGAGGUCUCAGACAGGGCUCAGCGCACAGUUCUGGGGUCAGGUACAGAAUUUCAGCCUAAGGAAACUUGAACCAUUCUCUGUGCAUCUUGCAUUGCUGUGGCCAGGCCAGGAUCUCCCAGGUUGUGAAGGAUGUAGAAUUUCAUCAGGAGUAGAAACAGUGGAGUAUGGGGAGGGGAAGACAAGUUUGAAAACAAAGAAACCUGACAAUGGAAGGAGGCAGCUUUGAAGAGGAAAGGUUAUCCCAGAGGCAAUGGUAGGGACAAACGCAGUGUCCACCUUCCAGCAGUUCUAAUAACAAAAAGAACUCAUAAGCAGUGGUGGCAAUCUGUACAUGAUGUUACUUUCCUAAAAAGCUGCCAUGAGUUUGAAACACUCUGUAACAUGUGUGGAUGGAGAGAUACCCUCUGCUCAUCAUAAAAUAAGUGGACACUCCUACAGAUACCUAUUGCAAGAUGAACGCUCUUCAAAUUUAAAUGAGAUUGUUAUUUCAAAGAAUAUAUAUCAAACAUAAACAUGCAUUUAAGUUUCCGGUGUCCUAUCUCAGAUAAACAAUUUUGGGAGUGUGAAAAGUCCAGCAUUUCAGCCACAAGAAUAGGCAGUUCUCUAGAUGCCGCUGCUCACUCCCACAUGCAGUAUGUGGCUGGGAACUGUGAAGGAAUAUACCCAGAGCUCCACCUCAGCUGACAUUUCCUCUUCUCUCCUCACACUGCUAUGCAUUCAGCACAGGCCCUUCACUUUGCAUUUUGCAUGAAUGCAAUGGAAUUUACUUGCCCACUUAGGUGACUCUCAGACAGAUGCUCCUGACAACAGAACACCUGUCAACGUUUUCAGAGGAGCCGUGGUGAAGUGCUCUUCCAGCCAUCCCUGUCUUGAUCCUCUUUCCCCGCUGCGCUCGUGUCCUGGAAGAGUGUCCGUUCCUGGCUCCCUGGGCAUCCAGGGCCUUACUUCUCCCCAAGUUCCUGUGGUCUCCUAGGCAGCACCCUUCCAUGCCAGGAUCUCUUCUACAAAAUAAUAAAACUAGCCAUGUUCUAAUAACAAAGAAAUACAGUUGUUUAAAAAAAAUUUGGAAAAAAUGCCAGGAAAAUAAAA